AUUCCGUGAUGAGGGCACUUCUGUAACGAUUCUUUGUACCUUUCCCAUGCCACAAACAAUGACUCAUCAUCCAUUUUUUGGAAAGUAGAGAUCUUGUUUCUCAACUU
rfam:Gossypium raimondii chromosome 11, whole genome shotgun sequence.